UGUCUAGAGGAGCAUUAGUGGAAAAAAACUGUGUAGCCCUGAGACAAUAGGAUGACGUCACGACCAAUGAGAACGGCCUGCAGGGGGCGCAAGGUUUCACUUCUCUCUUGGACACUGACGGGUCUCGACACGCAAAUUCUGCUCCUGGCGUUGGCCGUCAGUGGAAGAGCGUAGCUUCGGUGGGGUUCUGUCUGCCUCUGAUGGGGUGCGGAUGUGUGGUUCGUCACUGGUGAAUGGUGUUCGACGAUGCAGGUGGAUUUUGUAACGAGCGGAUUUACAAUGAGGGAAUGCUGUGAACGGGAAAAAUGAUGAGCUGUCCUAACUUGCCCAGACAUGCCGUGAUGACGUCACAGCUGACGUCACAGGAUGCCCGGAACUGGUGGUCAUAGCUGCGAUGCUUUGCAACCUGCCUCUGUGCUCCGUCGCAGGGCGAUGGUCAGCGGCCUUUCCGGGCCGCUUUCUUCAAGAUGGCGCCGUUGAUCUUCAACUAAACUCCUUCUCUCCACUCUAUCUCUAUCUUUUUAUUUUAUUUUCAACCUAUUUUUUUAUUUUUUAGCAGCUCAACUAGCCCACAACUCACACAGUGGUCUGGACACGUCUUAGGUGCUCCCCAAUUAGUGUAACGACACACUGAAUGAUCCUAAUUACUGUGGGGGUCCCAAUUAGCUCUAAUUGCUCAUUAAUGGCGUCCAGGCCAGUGUGUGAGUUGUGGGCCAGUUGAGCUGAUCAUAUACUACUAUUGUGUACAACAACAACACCUUUAUUUUCAGAAGGAGAAUGGGGAGGUUCAUCGCCAGAGGCGAUACUCUACCCCAGUGUUGUUGGGGAUGCAGGGUAAAUAAAUAGGUGCAGGGUAAAUGCAGGGUAAAUAAAUAAAUAUUAGAUCUA